rnacentral:rRNA from 1 species
UACGUAGGGGGCGAGCGUUGUCCGGAAUCAUUGGGCGUAAAGAGCGUGUAGGCGGCUUGGCAAGUCUGACGUGAAAGCCCGCGGCCCAACCGCGGAUUGUCGUUGGAAACUGCCUCGCUAGAGUCCGGAAGAGGAGAGCGGAAUUCCUGGUGUAGCGGUGGAAUGCGCAGAUAUCAGGAAGAACACCCGUGGCGAAGGCGGCUCUCUGGGACGGUACUGACGCUGAGACGCGAAAGCGUGGGGAGCGAACAGG